rnacentral:rRNA from 1 species
GUCACGAGUUUGAUCCUGGCUCAGAUUGAACGCUGGCGGAAUGCUUUACACAUGCAAGUCGAACGGUAGAGGGGGCAACCCUUGAGAGUGGCGAACGGGUGAGUAAUAUAUCGGAACGUGCCCAGUCGUGGGGGAUAACGUAGCGAAAGUUACGCUAAUACCGCAUACGAUCUACGGAUGAAANCGGGGGGACUCGCAAGAGCCUCGCGCGAUUGGAGCGGCCGAUAUCAGAUUAGGUAGUUGGUGGGGUAAAGGCUCACCAAGCCAACGAUCUGUAGCUGGUCUGAGAGGACGACCAGCCACACUGGAACUGAGACACGGUCCAGACUCCUACGGGAGGCAGCAGUGGGGAAUUUUGGACAAUGGACGCAAGUCUGAUCCAGCCAUUCCGCGUGCAGGAUGAAGGCCCUCGGGUUGUAAACUGCUUUUGUACGGAACGAAAAGGUUUCUAUUAAUACUAGGAGCUCAUGACGGUACCGUAAGAAUAAGCACCGGCUAACUACGUG